rnacentral:rRNA from 1 species
UACGAAGGGGGCUAGCGUUGCUCGGAAUCACUGGGCGUAAAGCGCACGUAGGCGGAUCUUUAAGUCAGGUGUGAAAUCCUGGAGCUCAACUCCAGAACUGCCUUUGAUACUGGGGAUCUCGAGUCCGGAAGAGGUGAGUGGAACUCCGGGUGUAGAGGUGAAAUUCGUAGAUAUUCGGAAGAACACCAGUGGCGAAGGCGGCUCACUGGUCCGGUACUGACGCUGAGGUGCGAAAGCGUGGGGAGCAAACAGG